AUUGAACGCUGGCGGCAUGCCUAACACAUGCAAGUCGAGCGGAUGAAUGGAGCUUGCUCCUGUAUUCAGCGGCGGACGGGUGAGUAAUGCCUAGGAAUCUGCCUGGUAGUUGGGGAUAACGUCCGGAAACGGGCGCUAAUACCGCAUACGUCCUGAGGGAGAAAGUGGGGGAUCUUCGGACCUCACGCUAUCAGAUGAGCCUAGGUCGGAUUAGCUAGUUGGUGGGGUAAAGGCCUACCAAGGCGACGAUCCGUAACUGGUCUGAGAGGAUGAUCAGUCACACUGGAACUGAGACACGGUCCAGACUCCUACGGGAGGCAGCAGUGGGGAAUAUUGGACAAUGGGCGAAAGCCUGAUCCAGCCAUGCCGCGUGUGUGAAGAAGGUCUUCGGAUUGUAAAGCACUUUAAGUUGGGAGGAAGGGCAGUAAGUUAAUCCCUUGCUGUUUUGACGUUACCAACAGAAUAAGCAACGGCUAACUUCGUG
rnacentral:rRNA from 1 species